rnacentral:rRNA from 1 species
GACGAACGCUGGCGGCGUGCUUAGCACAUGCAAGUCGAACGGAAAGGCCCCCUUGUGGGGUACUCGAGUGGCGAACGGGUGAGUAACACGUGAGUAACCUACCCUUGACUUUGGGAUAACUUCAGGAAACUGGGGCUAAUACCGGAUAGGAGCUCCUGCUGCAUGGUGGGGGUUGGAAAGUUUCGGCGGUUGGGGAUGGACUCGCGGCUUAUCAGCUUGUUGGUGGGGUAGUGGCUCACCAAGGCUUUGACGGGUAGCCGGCCUGAGAGGGUGACCGGCCACAUUGGGACUGAGAUACGGCCCAGACUCCUACGGGAGGCAGCAGUGGGGAAUAUUGCACAAUGGGCGGAAGCCUGAUGCAGCAACGCCGCGUGCGGGAUGACGGCCUUCGGGUUGUAAACCGCUUUCGCCUGUGACGAAGCGUGAGUGACGGUAAUGGGUAAAGAAGCACCGGCUAACUACGUG